UGAAUGAUCCAGCAAUCUUUGUCUUCAUCAU
rnacentral:piRNA from 1 species